rnacentral:rRNA from 1 species
ACACGACCGUACCGCAAACCGACACUGGUGCGCGAGAUGAGUAUUCUAAGGCGCUUGAGAGAACUCAGGAGAAGGAACUCGGCAAAUUGACACCGUAACUUCGGAAGAAGGUGUGCCUUUAGUAGGUGAACCUGUACAAGGGGAGCCCAAUGAGGUUGCAAAAAAUCGGUGGCUGCGACUGUUUAAUAAAAACACAGCACUCUGCAAACACGAAAGUGGACGUAUAGGGUGUGACGCCUGCCCGGUGCUGGAAGAUUAAAUGAUGGGGUGCAAGCUCUUGAUUGAAGUCCCAGUAAACGGCGGCCGUAACAAUAACGGUCCUAAGGUAGCGAAAUUCCUUGUCGGGUAAGUUCCGACCUGCACGAAUGGCGUAACGAUGGCCACACUGUCUCCUCCUGAGACUCAGCGAAGUUGAAAUGUUUGUGAUGAUGCAAUCUCCCCGCGGAAAGACGGAAAGACCCCAUGAACCUUUACUGUAGCUUUGUAUUGGACUUUGAACAGAUCUGUGUAGGAUAGGUGGGAGGCUUUGAAGUGUGGUCGCUAGAUCGCAUGGAGCCAACGUUGAAAUACCACCCUGGUGUGUUUGAGGUUCUAACCUAGGCCCGUAAUCCGGGUCGGGGACAGUGCAUGGUAGGCAGUUUGACUGGGGCGGUCUCCUCCCAAAGCGUAACGGAGGAGUUCGAAGGUACGCUAGGUACGGUCGGACAUCGUGCUAAUAGUGCAAUGGCAUAAGCGUGCUUAACUGCGAGACUGACAAGUCGAGCAGAUGCGAAAGCAGGACAUAGUGAUCCGGUGGUUCUGUAUGGAAGGGCCAUCGCUCAACGGAUAAAAGGUACUCUGGGGAUAACAGGCUGAUACCGCCCAAGAGUUCAUAUCGACGGCGGUGUUUGGCACCUCGAUGUCGGCUCAUCUCAUCCUGGGGCUGUAGCCGGUCCCAAGGGUAUGGCUGUUCGCCAUUUAAAGAGGUACGUGAGCUGGGUUUAAAACGUCGUGAGACAGUUUGGUCCCUAUCUUCCGUGGGCGCUGCAGAUUUGAGGAAGCCUGCUCCUAGUACGAGAGGACCGGAGUGGACACACCUCUGGUGUAUCGGUUAUCACGCCAGUGGCAUUGCCGAGUAGCUAUGUGUGGAAGAGAUAACCGCUGAAAGCAUCUAAGCGGGAAACUCGUUUCAAGAUGAGAUCUGCCGGGGCCUUGAGCCCCCUAAAGAGUCGUUCAAGACCAGGACGUUGAUAGGUCGGGUGUGGAAGCGCAGUAAUGCGUUAAGCUAACCGAUACUAAUUGCUCGUGCGGCUUGAUC